CAGGGGUUUGAUCCUGGCUCAGGACGAACGCUGGCGGCGUGCCUAAUACAUGCAAGUAGAACGCACAGGAUGCACCGUAGUUUACUACACCGUAUUCUGUGAGUUGCGAACGGGUGAGUAACGCGUAGGUAACCUGCCUGGUAGCGGGGGAUAACUAUUGGAAACGAUAGCUAAUACCGCAUAAGAACAUUUACUGCAUGGUAGAUGUUUAAAAGGUGCAAAUGCAUCACUACCAGAUGGACCUGCGUUGUAUUAGCUAGUAGGUGAGGUAACGGCUCACCUAGGCGACGAUACAUAGCCGACCUGAGAGGGUGAUCGGCCACACUGGGACUGAGACACGGCCCAGACUCCUACGGGAGGCAGCAGUAGGGAAUCUUCGGCAAUGGGGGGAACCCUGACCGAGCAACGCCGCGUGAGUGAAGAAGGUUUUCGGAUCGUAAAGCUCUGUUGUUAAGGAAGAACGAGUGUGAGAAUGGAAAGUUCAUACUGUGACGGUACUUAACCAGAAAGGGACGGCUAACUACGUGCCAGCAGCCGCGGUAAUACGUAGGUCCCGAGCGUUGUCCGGAUUUAUUGGGCGUAAAGCGAGCGCAGGCGGUUAGAUAAGUCUGAAGUUAAAGGCUGUGGCUUAAC
rnacentral:rRNA from 1 species